AGUUUCAGUCUCUCACUCUCUCAUUCCCACGCCCACCUCUCCACUGUCACUCCAUCGACUCCCUCGACUCCGACGACAUCCCGGAGAACUCCCAUCACCACCGCCGCGACCAACACAACGACUCCACCACCACCCAUCCAGCCAUCCUUCGACCUCGACGACAUCCGUUACUUCGCCGGCUACUGGGCUGGGAAUGUGCAAAUGUGAAUGAGUGAAUCUGCUAGGGCUAGGACAGAAUUUGAAUAUGUGCAAAUGUUACACAUUUCUCCUUUGGUGUAGGGUUCUAGCAUCGGUUGUUUAUCAUGCUAAGGCACUUCCCCAUUGAGUCAAGAGGACGUCAAAAAAAGCUAGAGGAGAAUAUAAAAGAAGAAAAGCAAAUGCUAAUGUUAUAUCUACAAGCUCAACCAUCCCAUCAAGUGAUGCUGAAAUUGAAGCUCCUCAUCAAACAACUCAAAUGAAUAAAGGAAAAGGAAUUGCGAUUCAAUGAGGAAUGAUGUUGGAACUUGGAUGUUGGAAUUGGAUGUGGUUUCCUAUGUUCAUUUGGAAUUUAUUGAAAAUGUCAUGUUUAUGUUGUUUUGAAUUAUUUGAUUUUUGGACUUUGGAAUUUGGAUGUCUUGGACUCUCGGUUUUGAAUAUUUUGUAUGUUGAUUCGAUCUUUAGAUGUUGGACGCUAUAACGUUAUUUUGGAUGUAUUGAAUAUGUGCAAUUGUAAUUUGCACAGAUUGCAAAUUUGUGCAAUUGCAAUCUGUGCAGUACUGUA